GAGGGGGAGACUCUCGAAGAGCCUCUCUAUCAUCUCCGCUAGACUCUUGCUUACAGUGUGGACCACUUUGCAAAAGUAGUUUUCGAGAUUGUUUGCUCGACUUUUGGCGUGUGCAUCUGUGUUGUUUAGAUCUGGAGGUAACAUUGCGGUUGGGGCUUGUGUAUAGAGGUGUGUGUGUGUGUGUGUGUGUUGGAGAGAUUAGGGGGGAGACUCUCGAAGAGCCUCUCUAUCAUCUCCGCUAGACUCUUGCUUACAGUGUGGACCACUUUGCAAAAGUAGUUUUCGAGAUUGUUUGCUCGACUUUUGGCGUGUGCAUCUGUGUUGUUUAGAUCUGGAGGUAACAUUGCGGUUGGGGCUUGUGUAUAGAGGUGUGUGUGUGUGUGUGUGUGUUGGAGAGAUUAGGACGAGACUUGAAUAUUUAUGAGCUUUGCUUGAAACUGACUCGCUGUGUUUACUUGCCUCUUUGUUCCAUACCCCUCCCUCCCCUUUCUACACUCACUCACACACAUACAUACACACACACAGACACACAGACACACAUACACAUACAUAAGUAGAUUUUUAAAAAUCCAUUACAUGUGAAACAUUUUCUAAUUCCUUCUUUUUCGGGGCGAUUUUUUAAAUAGAAACUAGUUGCACAGAUGAAGCAAGAUCCACAGGUAAAUGCAGAUCUAUUUUUUUAAUUAAAAAAAUCCCAGCUUCUUCAGUAUUUUAGCUCUGCUGUAAUAAGUGCAGUUCUGCUGGGACAGGAGGAUAAGAAACUUUAUCAGUAAGAGAUCUCAUUUUGAAGAGCGGGCUGAGCUUUAUUAGUUAAAGGGGUUAUUAGAGAUAUAUAUUUAUUUUCCCCUCUCUUCUUAUUGUGCAUGCUUUUCGUUGGGUUUUUUUCCUCUCUGAACCAUUCCGAGACGCAAGUUUAGUUUUAACUGGCUUUAGUUUACACUUGUUUUUUAAAAUCUCCAUUUUAUUGCCAUUUUUACAGAACGGUGAUCUUAAGAAACCAAUCCAUGAGAGGCAAUCGAGAAUAACAGCUCUUAAUGAAAAACAAUCUCCCUGCAGGUACAAGGAAUUUCAUAUGCCACUGACAAGAUUGGGAAUUCUGUGUGUUAAACAGUCACAAGGUUCAAGAGACUUUCUCAGUAAACUUUAGACCAACCAUUUUGUUGCAUUAAGUUUUUCUGUCAUCUUCCGUGUGCUCUUCUGGUUGCAGUAUUCUGUAUACUUUAUACUGUAUUCUUUAUAAGUUAAAUAAAUAAAUACUUUGGCUAUUAAAUCCUUUCA
ensembl:lncRNA